CCAAGGCGCCUUACGUUUGGGCAUCUUCCAGCCUUGCUCUCGGGGAAAGUGCGUGCCGCGGGAUCCGCCAAAAGCCCGCGCCCCAGCUCAGAAGCCGCCGACGGGAGAGAGACGGGCAAGCGGGUUAGCUCUGGGUGCAGACAGGUAGGAGGAGGGAGAAAUCCUUGCCUAGAUGUAGCGGUUGUGCUCUAAAAGGCCUCGAGUCUGGCUGCGAACAAUGCAAAUGGAAGGAAGCUGUUCUUGAGUUGGGGCGUCCCAGGGACUGUCCCCACCUUAGAGGUAUCAGUGGACCCCAGGCCAUCAUCAUUAAGAUGGAAGCGAAGUUGUGUCAGUUUGGGGGGCUGUGAUCAGAAUCUGAUCGUCUGCUGCCUUAAGAUGAUGGGCCCUCAGUUCAGCUGCUUCCAGAACUGAUGUUCCUGUGUCUUGUCAAACUGUACCUGACUGAGGACGUUCGAGCAGAUCUGUCUGGACACUUAGGACUUCAAUCAGGAAAACCACUAAACUGUGACUCUUUUUCUCCCCUAAAAGCAGAAAAUGGGCAGUGGGAUGUGGUGAAGAGCAAUUCUAAUGGGAUUUGUUUGUUUGUUUGUUUUCCUUCUUAACUAUUCAAGGUUUUGGUUUUGGUGGGUGAAUUUUCAUGCACUGUAAUUUCAGCUUUUGGUUAUUAGUUAAAAACUUCAUCUCAUCCAUUACAAAUGCAAAACAGAAAUGUUUCUUUGGUGGGGAGAAAAACAGGUUCUGAUAUUCAUUAUUUAAAUAUUUAUUUAGUUAGGUAAAAUCCCCCAAAAUGAGUGCUAUGAACCAAGUCAGACUGGACUGUGAAUACCUGGAAAAAGAAAGUUCUUGAAAUCAUUAAACAUGUUUCAUACUGCA